rnacentral:rRNA from 1 species
CAGUAGCCGCGGUAAUACGAAGGGGGCUAGCGUUGCUCGGAAUGACUGGGCGUAAAGGGCGCGUAGGCGGCGGCCAAAGUCAGGCGUGAAAUUCCCGGGCUCAACCUGGGGGCUGCGUUUGAUACUUGGUUGCUUGAGUGGGGAAGAGGGUCGUGGAAUUCCCAGUGUAGAGGUGAAAUUCGUAGACAUUGGGAAGAACACCGGUGGCGAAGGCGGCGACCUGGUCCUUUACUGACGCUGAGGCGCGAAAGCGUGGGGAGCAAACAGGAUUAGAUACCCCUGUAGUCCCUGUCUCUUAUAC